rfam:Schistosoma margrebowiei strain Zambia genome assembly, scaffold: SMRZ_scaffold0001850
AAUUCUCUGAAUCUGUGCAAAGAUCUCGCCAGACACCAACCAAUGAGGGCUGGUCAGACUUCCAAAAUAAGUGAAGUU